GCAGCACGUAUAUCUGCGAGAAAACCUUUUCGCAUGAAACUGCUGAAAACCCCGAUGAGAUCAAGAUUGACAGAUGAACAUUUGCAUCAGUGCUUGAGACUGGCUGUAACUAGAAUGGAACCUGAUAUUCAACUUCUCACCAGCCAGAUGCAGGCCCACAGUUCACACUGAUGAACAUACAUAGGGAAGUUGAUGAGAGAGAGCUGCAAACAGCGGUGUCUACAAGCCUACUGGAACCUACAAAAGGAUUAUAAGGAAGGAACACAAGAACUUUAAGAGACUGCUCAUAUGUGUCAGAGAGAUUCUGCUCUGACAACUGAGCUGAACUUUUAUCUGUUAAGAUUGUGCAUGGCACGACAGAAAGUUAAUGUUCCAUGGCUUUUUUUCUAUGAAGAACCCAGAGAUAGUUAUUUAGUUAUUAUUUAUUUCCUGUUUUUUCUGUGAAGAACUCAGAGAGGGUUAUUUAGUUAUGAUUUAUUUCAUUAAUAGUGUUAUUAUUUGUUUCCUGACUUUUUUUCUGUAAAGAACCUGGAAAGGGUUAUUUGGUUAUGUGUGGCUUUCUGGAAAACAAUACAUUUUUUAAGCUCCCCUACGAUCGUCACACUUUUUCUGUUACAAACUGACACCGGCCCCCCAUCAGAGAAGGGAAAAGUUAUGUGGCCCUCACAGGAAAAAGUUUGGGGACCCCUGGUUUAGAGAAAAAGAAUGGACAAAGAAAAAUUAUUAAUUGUCUCAAAUCAGCUGUUGGACAAGAGCUCACUAGCCCUAGUGAAAUUAGAAAGAGGGCAGUAGAGUUCUAUGCUGAGCUCUACAAGUGUGAGUACAAAGAGGACAAAACAGUGACACAGCAGUUCUUUGAUGGGCUCCCAAAGGUGGCUGCAGAAGCUCAGGUUGAGCUUGAGCAACCAUUGUCUUUGCAGGAUUUAUACACUGCAUUAAAAGGCAUGGAAAAUGGAAGGGCACCAGGCAUUGAUGGGCUUCCCGUUGACUUUUUUAAGUCUUUUUGGGCUAUGUUGGGAGAGGAUUGGUUAGAAGUAGCUAAUGAUAGUUUAACCGGAGGGUUACUACCAAUAAGCUGCAGAAGGGCUGUCCUCACCCUACUGCCCAAAAAGGGUGACCCGAGGGAGGUGAAGAACUGGAGGCCGGUGGCUUUAUUGUGCACUGAUUAUAAGAUAUUGUCAAAAGCUUUGUCCAACAGGCUGAGGGAGGUGAUGGGGCAAAUCAUACAUACGGAUCAGUCCUACUGUGUUCCUGGCAGGCAGAUAGGGGAUAACAUUUCUCUGAUUCGUGAUUUUUUGGACGUCUCUAGGGCUAUUGGGUUGGAUGCUGGUCUAAUUUCAAUUGAUCAGGAAAAGGCAUUUGACCGAGUUGAACAUCAAUAUUUAUGGCACACGUUUGAGGCGUUUGGGUUCAGCUCUGGUUUUAUUGCCAUGAUAAAGGUGAUAUAUGGUGACAUUGAAAGUGUAUUGAAAGUUAACGGUGGUUUGAGUGCUCCUUUUAAAGUGUGUAGAGGUAUUAGGCAGGGAUGUUCUAUGUCAGGGAUGUUAUAUGCCAUUGCUAUAGAGCCACUACUAAAUAUCAUUAGAAGUCGCAUUGCAGGGGUGUGCCUUUCAGAGGAUAUUACUCCUAUUCGUCUCUCAGCCUAUGCUGAUGAUGCAGUUGUGCUAGUGAAAAAUCAAGUGGAGGUGGAUAGCUUGAGUCUAAUGGUUGAUCGUUUUAGGGGAAUAUCCUCUGCAAAGGUAAAUUGGGAAAAGAGUUGUGCGUUACAGAUUGGAGAAUGGUCUGGAGGGAUCAUGGCUUUGCCAGGGGGGCUAGAAUGGUGUAAGGGAGGUUUUAAGUAUCUUGGAGUGUACCUAGGAGAUGAGGGGACUAUGGAAAAAAAUUGGAGUGGGGUGGUUGAAAUGGUGGAAGGGAGGAUGAGGAGAUGGCGUUGGUUAUUAUCUCGUAUGUCAUAUAGGGGGCGCACUAUUAUAGUUAACAAUGUGAUUGCAUCUGCACUGUGGCAUCGGUUGUCAGUUUUAGAACCACCAUCUGGCCUUCUGGCUAAGAUACAGGCAAUUAUUGUGGAUUUCUUUUGGGAUAAAUAUCACUGGGUUCCACAAAGUGUUUUGUAUUUGUCAAAAGAAGAGGGGGACAAGGUCUUGUACAUCUUGCUAGUAGGGCUGCUGCUUUCCGGUUUCAGUUUAUUCAAAGGUUGCUUUAUGGACGGAGUCAGUGCAUUGGCUGUUGGAGGAACCUCUGAUGUAUGGGGCAAGACUGGAUUGUACAACUGCAGUUGUUCCAUAUUUCUCCAAGAUUCUGGUGAAGGGAAAAAUCAUCACCUUAAGACAGUUAAUGGCCAUGGCUGGGCCCGCCUUAAUGGAUGGAAGACGAGUGGCAGAACAUUUGGGGAUGAGGUCGGAAAGGAUUGUCGGACAAAUGCUGGGGAGCUGUAGGAAGGCUCUGUCAGCGGAAGAAUGGGGUAUGCUUAGUAGUCACAAGAAGAAGGUACAAGAUGAAGACGUCUCAUUUCCAAGACUAGGGAUUACACCAAAUAUCCCAGAGUCAGAAAGAAAGGCGUUAUUGCUGGAUUUGGGAGGGUUGGAGGAGGUGGGUUUGGAUGAGGUGAAUGGGAAGGAUUUGUAUAGGGGGUGUGUCAAGGUGUUGAAUAAAGAGAAAUUGAAAAAUAGAAAAGACACUCCAUGGAGGGUAAAAUUGGGCAUUGAUGAUAGGGUAAAGCCAGCAUGGAGAGAACUGUACAAACCACCGUUACAAAAGGGUACUGGUGAUAUGCAAUGGAGGGUUUUACAUGGCAUCAUUGCAGUUAAUGCUUUUGUAUCUGUUAUUAAUUCAGAUGUUAGAGACGGAUGUCCUUUUUGUAAUAUAAGAGAAACCAUUUUUCACUGUUUUAUGGAGUGUGAGAGGAUAAAACCUCUAUUGGAAAUGCUGGAAUCUUUGUUUAAAGCUGUAGGGGAAUUUUUCAAUAACACUGUUUUUAUUUUGGGGUUUCAAUAUAGUAAACAACAGAAAAGAAAAUGUUACAUUUUAUUUUGGGACAAGCUAAGAUGUCAAUUUUUCUGAGUAGAAAACAUAAGAUAGAAACGGGAUAUGGGAAGGAUGUAAGAUGUGUUUUUAAAGGAUUAGUGAAAGCAAGAAUAAAAGUAGAUUUUGAGUUCU